AUUGAACGCUGGCGGCAGGCCUAACACAUGCAAGUCGAGCGGAUGAAGGGAGCUUGCUCCUGGAUUCAGCGGCGGACGGGUGAGUAAUGCCUAGGAAUCUGCCUGGUAGUGGGGGAUAACGUCCGGAAACGGGCGCUAAUACCGCAUACGUCCUGAGGGAGAAAGUGGGGGAUCUUCGGACCUCACGCUAUCAGAUGAGCCUAGGUCGGAUUAGCUAGUUGGUGGGGUAAAGGCCUACCAAGGCGACGAUCCGUAACUGGUCUGAGAGGAUGAUCAGUCACACUGGAACUGAGACACGGUCCAGACUCCUACGGGAGGCAGCAGUGGGGAAUAUUGGGCAAUGGGCGAAAGCCUGACCCAGCAACGCCGCGUGUGUGAAGAAGGUCUUCGGAUUGUAAAGCACUUUAAGUUGGGAGGAAGGGCAGUAAGUUAAUACCUUGCUGUUUUGACGUUACCAACAGAGUAAGCACCGGCUAACUUCGUG
rnacentral:rRNA from 1 species